UACGGGGGGGGCAAGCGUUGUUCGGAAUUACUGGGCGUAAAGGGCUUGUAGGCGGCCAACUAAGUCCGACGUGAAAUCCCCGGGCUUAACCUGGGAACUGCAUUUGUGACUGCAGGGCUGGAGUGCGGCAGAGGGGGAUGGAAUUCCGCGUGUAGCAGUGAAAUGCGUAGAUAUGCGGAGGAACACCGAUGGCGAAGGCAAUCCCCUGGGCCUGCACUGACGCUCAUGCACGAAAGCGUGGGGAGCAAACAGG
rnacentral:rRNA from 1 species